rnacentral:rRNA from 1 species
GAUGGAGGUGAGACAAUCAUACUAAAGUUUCGACGGAGUAGGGAUGAGUCUGCGUCUGAUUAGGUAGUUGGUGAGGUAACGGCUCACCAAGCCGACGAUCAGUAACUGGUCUGAGAGGACGAACAGUCACACUGGAACUGAGACACCGGUCCAGACUCCGUACGGGAGGCAGCAGUGAGGAAUAUUGCACAAUGGGAGCAAUCCUGAUGCAGCGACGCCGCGUGGCGGGAUGAAGGGCUUAGCCUCGUAAACCGCUGUCGGAGGGGACGAAUGGUACAUUUGAUGUACUGAGACGGUACCCUCAAAGGAAGGAUCGGCUAACUACGUG